AUCUUCGUCCGCUCCUCGCCAGAACACUUUGUCUGAGAAAGUGCGCAGGAGAGAGAAGCAGAACAUGAACAUGCUUCUUCUGCACCCAACUCUACUCACUCCAGUACCAUCAACUCACGUUUCAUCUCCGCUUCUCCUCCGUCAAUUUCACCACUUUCCACCACUUAACGCCACCGUCAAUUCAAACACCGCCGCAACCGCAACCGCCACUGCUGGCCACAUUUCUACCUUAACCUCCUCGUCUUCACCCUCGGACGACCUCACUUCCCUCCAUAACCGACGCUACGAUUUCACUCCUCUACUUCGUUUCCUUUCUUCCAGCUUCACUACUGGGAACAACGAAUCUGUCUCGGAUACCGAUUCUCCCACUUCCCUCGAUCCCGCCGAGCUCCGACUCGCCGAGUCCUAUCGAGCGGUCCCUGGACCACUCUGGCACUCCCUACUCAAAUCCUUAUGUUCUUCGUCUUCUACUCUCGAUACAGCUUACGCCCUAGUUUCCUGGCUUCAAAAGCACAAUCUCUGCUUCUCUUACGAGUUACUCUACUCCAUUCUCAUUCACGCCCUCGGCCGCUCCGAUAAACUGUACGAGGCGUUCUUGCUCUCUCAACAGCAGACGCUAACCCCUUUAACCUACAAUGCCCUAAUUGGUGCCUGUGCCCGCAACGAUGAUCUCGAUAAAGCCCUCCAUUUGAUGGCUCGGAUGCGCCGGGAUGGUUACCAGUCCGAUUUUGUCAAUUACAGUCUUAUCAUCCAAUCGCUCACUCGUACUAAUAAGAUGGAAUCGCCGGUGUUGCAGAAAUUGUAUCAGGAGAUGGAGUUCGAUAAGAUUGAGCUCGACAGCCAGCUCUUGAAUGACCUCAUCAUGGCAUUUGCUAAGGCUGGGGACCCCGACCGUGCAUUGUUCUUCUUGGCCAUGGUUCAAGGCCAAGGUUUGAGCCCCAAAACUGCUACCCUGGUUGCGCUAAUCUCUUCUCUGGGGAAUCUUGGUCGUACUGUGGAGGCUGAAGCCAUUUUCGAAGAGAUGAAAGAAGGGGGCUUGAAACCCAGCACCCGAGCUUAUAAUGCGCUUCUAAAAGGAUAUGUGAAGACCCGUUCCUUGAGAGAUGCUGAAUCCAUCGUGUCGGAGAUGGAGAGUAGUGAGGUAUCGCCAGACGAACAAACGUACAGCCUUCUUAUAGAUGCUUAUGCAAAUGCUGGCCGAUGGGAGAGCGCGAGAAUUGUCCUGAAAGAAAUGGAGGCAAGUAAUGUACAGCCUAAUUCUUAUGUGUUCAGUAGGAUAUUGGCUAGUUAUCGAGACAGAGGGGAGUGGCAGAAAUCGUUUUCUGUUCUUAAGGAGAUGAGGAAUUCUGGUGUCCGCCCUGAUAGACAUUUCUACAAUGUCAUGAUCGAUACUUUUGGAAAGUAUAAUUGUCUUGAGUAUGCCAUGGAUGCAUUCGAACGGAUGAAAGAAGAUGGGAUUCAACCUGACAAAGUUACUUGGAACACGCUGAUCGAUUGCCACUGUAAGUCAGGACGCCACGACAAAGCUGAUGAGCUAUUUGCGGCAAUGCAGGAGAGCGGAUGCUUGCCUUGCACCACAACGUACAAUAUCAUGAUCAAUUCUCUUGGGGAGCAGGAGAAGUGGGAGGAGGUGAAGAAUUUUCUGGGAAAGAUGCAAAGCCAAGGAUUAUUACCUAAUGUUGUCACAUAUACCACUCUAAUUGACAUUUAUGGGAAAUCUGGGAGGUUUACAGAUGCGAACGAGUGCUUGGAGGUAUUGAAGUCUGCAGGGUUGAAACCGUCCUCAACAAUGUACAAUGCUUUGGUCAAUGCAUAUGCGCAAAGGGGUUUGUCCGAGCAAGCAGUAAAUACGUUUAGGGUAAUGAGAGCAGAUGGCUUAAAGCCCAGUGUUUUAGUUCUCAAUUCAUUAAUUAAUGCAUUCGGUGAAGACAGAAGGGAUGCUGAAGCUUUUUCCAUAUUGCAGUACAUGAAGGAAAAUGACUUGAAGCCAGAUGUAGUCACAUAUACCACCCUUAUGAAAGCUCUAAUCCGGGUUGAGAAAUUUGAAAAGGUUCCAGCUGUUUAUGAAGAAAUGAUUUUAUCCGGGUGUACUCCAGAUAGAAAAGCUAGAGCUAUGUUACGGUCAGCUCUGAGAUACAUGAAGCAGGCACUGAAGUCAUAACUGAAAACAUGAUGCAGUUUGGCUUAAGAAAAUUGCCUGAUUCAGCUACUGUAUUCGAUUUCAUACCAUUUGAGGAAAAGUAACUGAAACAGAAAAUUGGUCUGGUUUACAGAAAUGAAAUAUGUAGGAUACUUUGCAAACUCGACCCACAAAUGAGAACUUGGAUGAUCCACACUUUCUAAUUUGUUGUACUUUUCCACAUAUACCAGUAUAUAUACAAGUAUAUGUUUAUGCAUGUCCAGAUGUAGAUUUUUUUUUUUUUUUUUUGCAUAUGAUCUACUCAUUCAGUCAUCUUAUUCUUGUGACAUGCUGUUCAAUAUACAGAAAAUAUGAUUUCAUCUAGUAUUGUAGAAUAGAAGAUAUCUACAAAAGUGGUCACAUUUUCCUGUUCACAAGUGUACUGAUGGAUGAAAAACCAUGACAGUUUCGACUUCAGAGGAACUCUGAUGGAUUUAUUUGUCAA